AGAGUUUGAUCAUGGCUCAGAUUGAACGCUGGCGGCAGGCCUAACACAUGCAAGUCGAGCGGUAGCACAGAGAGCUUGCUCUCGGGUGACGAGCGGCGGACGGGUGAGUAAUGUCUGGGAAACUGCCUGAUGGAGGGGGAUAACUACUGGAAACGGUAGCUAAUACCGCAUAAUGUCGCAAGACCAAAGUGGGGGACCUUCGGGCCUCAUGCCAUCAGAUGUGCCCAGAUGGGAUUAGCUAGUAGGUGGGGUAACGGCUCACCUAGGCGACGAUCCCUAGCUGGUCUGAGAGGAUGACCAGCCACACUGGAACUGAGACACGGUCCAGACUCCUACGGGAGGCAGCAGUGGGGAAUAUUGCACAAUGGGCGCAAGCCUGAUGCAGCCAUGCCGCGUGUGUGAAGAAGGCCUUCGGGUUGUAAAGCACUUUCAGCGGGGAGGAAGGCGGUAAGGUUAAUAACCUUGUCGAUUGACGUUACCCGCAGAAGAAGCACCGGCUAACUCCGUGCCAGCAGCCGCGGUAAUACGGAGGGUGCAAGCGUUAAUCGGAAUUACUGGGCGUAAAGCGCACGCAGGCGGUCUGUCAAGUCGGAUGUGAAAUCCCCGGGCUCAACCUGGGAACUGCAUUCGAAACUGGCAGGCUAGAGUCUUGUAGAGGGGGGUAGAAUUCCAGGUGUAGCGGUGAAAUGCGUAGAGAUCUGGAGGAAUACCGGUGGCGAAGGCGGCCCCCUGGACAAAGACUGACGCUCAGGUGCGAAAGCGUGGGGAGCAAACAGGAUUAGAUACCCUGGUAGUCCACGCCGUAAACGAUGUCGAUUUGGAGGUUGUGCCCUUGAGGCGUGGCUUCCGGAGCUAACGCGUUAAAUCGACCGCCUGGGGAGUACGGCCGCAAGGUUAAAACUCAAAUGAAUUGACGGGGGCCCGCACAAGCGGUGGAGCAUGUGGUUUAAUUCGAUGCAACGCGAAGAACCUUACCUGGUCUUGACAUCCACAGAACUUUCCAGAGAUGGAUUGGUGCCUUCGGGAACUGUGAGACAGGUGCUGCAUGGCUGUCGUCAGCUCGUGUUGUGAAAUGUUGGGUUAAGUCCCGCAACGAGCGCAACCCUUAUCCUUUGUUGCCAGCGGUUCGGCCGGGAACUCAAAGGAGACUGCCAGUGAUAAACUGGAGGAAGGUGGGGAUGACGUCAAGUCAUCAUGGCCCUUACGACCAGGGCUACACACGUGCUACAAUGGCAUAUACAAAGAGAAGCGACCUCGCGAGAGCAAGCGGACCUCAUAAAGUAUGUCGUAGUCCGGAUUGGAGUCUGCAACUCGACUCCAUGAAGUCGGAAUCGCUAGUAAUCGUAGAUCAGAAUGCUACGGUGAAUACGUUCCCGGGCCUUGUACACACCGCCCGUCACACCAUGGGAGUGGGUUGCAAAAGAAGUAGGUAGCUUAACCUUCGGGAGGGCGCUUACCACUUUGUGAUUCAUGACUGGGGUGAAGUCGUAACAAGGUAACCGUAGGGGAACCUGCGGUUGGAUCACCU
rnacentral:rRNA from 1 species